UGCUGGGGGCCACGGGCGUCGGGAAGACGCUGCUGGUGAAACGGCUGCAGGAGGUGAGCUCCCGGGAUGGGAAAGGCGACCUGGGGGAGCCGCCCCCGACACGGCCCACGGUGGGCACCAAUCUUACUGACAUCGUGGCACAGAGAAAGAUCACCAUCCGGGAGCUUGGGGGGUGCAUGGGCCCCAUCUGGUCCAGUUACUAUGGAAACUGCCGUUCUCUCCUGGCCUGUGCCGCGGAUACCAGUAUGGAGAACUGAUGGCCACAUGAGGACAGAGACGAGUGACACCAGGUCGUCUUCAUAAAACUCGAUUCCCUCUGCUUCUGCUUGUUCCCAAAGCUUUGUUUAAAGCUACUUUGGGCCGGGCGCGGUGGCUUACUCCUGUAAUCCCAGCACUUUGGGAAGCUGAGGUGGGCGAAUCACGAGGUCAGGAGAUGGAGACCAUCCUGACUAACAUGGUGAAACCCCGUCUCUACUAAAAGUACAAAAAAUUAGCCAGGCGUGGUGGCGGGUGUCUGUAGUCCCAGUUACUUGGGAGGCUGAGGCAGGAGAAUCACUUGAACCCUGAACCCUGGAGGCGGAGUUUCAGUGAGCCGAGAUCGUGCCACUGCACUCGGAGCGAGACUUCGUCUCAAAAAAUAAAUUAAUUAAUUAAAAAAUGCAGUUUUGCUCUCCCAGUGCCAGGUCUGUGAGGCCCAGGGGAGGAAGUUUGGCAGCGGGGCAUUGCUGCUGUCUUUUUCUUUUUCCCCAGUUUGUGAUGGACGCCUCUGACCCCACCCAGCUCUCUGCAUCCUGUGUGCAGCUCUUAGGUCUCCUUUCUGCAGAACAACUUGCAGAAGCAUCGGUGCUGAUACUCUUCAAUAAAAUCGACCUACCCUGUUACAUGUCCACGGAGGAGAUGAAGUCAUUAAUCAGGCUUCCAGACAUCAUUGCUUGUGCCAAGCAGAACAUCACCACGGCAGAAAUCAGCGCCCGUGAAGGCACUGGCUUAGCAGGGGUGCUGGCCUGGCUCCAGGCCACCCACAGAGCCAACGAUUGACUGCACGGCAGAGGCGCAGCUGGCCUGAGCUGGGGAGAGGUGGCAGAGGGCAGUAUGGCUUUGCUGCCAAUAGUUUCUUCUCACAGGGGCAGAAUAACCCAAAGUAACCCUACAUGAUGGGGCUCUGUGCUGAGAUGCAAUGAUGUGUAAACUGAGGCAUGUGGAGAUGGAAGUUGACAUCUGGCCUCUGAAAAAAGUGUCCCCAGGGGCUAGGCAUGGUGGCUCACACCUGUAAUCCCAGCACUUUGAGAGGCCGAGGCGGGUGUAUCACCUGAGGUCGGGAGUUCGAGACUAGCCUGACCAACAUGGAGAAACCCUGUCUCUACUAAAAAUACAAAAUUAGCUGGGUGUGCUGGUGCAUGCCUGUAAUCUCAGCUACUUGGGAGGCUGAGACAGGAGAAUCCCUUGAACCUGGGAGGUGGAGGUUGCAGUGAGUCGAGAUCAUGCCAUUGCACUGCACCUGGGCAACAAGAGUGAAACUCCGUCUU
rnacentral:lncRNA from 1 species